CAGGAAGACGGCCUUAUGGGUUGUAAACUGCUUUUAUACGGGAGCAAUAAGGGUUACGAGUAAUCCGAUGAGAGUACUGUAUGAAUAAGGAUCGGCUAACUCCGUGCCAGCAGCCGCGGUAAUACGGAGGAUCCGAGCGUUAUCCGGAAUUAUUGGGUUUAAAGGGUGCGUAGGCGGCCAUUUAAGUCAGCGGUGAAAUUUUGCAGCUUAACUGUAACAGUGCCGUUGAUACUGUUUGGCUAGGAUUUGGUUGUAGUGUGCGGAAUGUGUGGUGUAGCGGUGAAAUGCUUAGAUAUCACACAGAACACCGAUUGCGAAGGCAGCACACUAAGUCAUUAUUGACGCUGAGGCACGAAAGUGUGGGGAUCAAAAAGGACUAGAUACCCUGGUAGUCCACACUGUAAUCCUCCAAAGGCGCUGUCGCCGAUACACAGUCGGUGGCCAAGCGAAAAGCAUUAAGUUAUCCACCUGGGGAGUACGACCGCAAGGUUGAAACUCAAAGGAAUUGACGGGGGCCCGCACAAGCGGAGGAACAUGUGGUUUAAUUCGAUGAUACGCGAGGAACCUUACCCGGGCUCGAACGGUGCAUGAAUAUACGAGAGAUUGUAUAGUCCUUCGGGACAUGUAUCGAGGUGCUGCAUGGUUGUCGUCAGCUCGUGCCGUGAGGUGUCGGCUUAAGUGCCAUAACGAGCGCAACCCUUGUCAUUAGUUGCCAUCAGGUCAAGCUGGGGACUUUAAUGAGACUGCCACCGUAAGGUGUGAGGAAGGGGGGAUGACGUCAAAUCAGCACGGCCCUUAUGUCCGGGGCGACACACGUGUUACAAUGGGAGGUACAGAGGGCAGCUAUCCGGUGACGGAAUGCUAAUCUCCAAAACCUUUCUCAGUUCGGAUUGGAGUCUGCAACUCGACUCCAUGAAGGUGGAUUCGCUAGUAAUCGCGCAUCAGCCAUGGCGCGGUGAAUACGUUCCCGGGCCUUGCACACACCCCUCGUCAAG
rnacentral:rRNA from 1 species